rnacentral:snRNA from 1 species
UUGCUUUGGCAGCAAAUAUACUAAAAUUGGAACAAUACAGAGAAGGUUAGCAUGGCCCCUGUGCAAGGAUGACACGCAAAUUCUUGAAGCUUUCCAUAUUAAA